GACGAACGCUGGCGGCGUGCCUAACACAUGCAAGUCGAACGGGGUAGAGAGCUUCGGUUUUCUACUUAGUGGCGAACGGGUGAGUAACGCGUGAGAAACCUGCCUUUCAGUGGGGGACAACAGUUGGAAACGACUGCUAAUACCGCAUAAUGUAUUCGGGGGGCAUCCCUUGAAUACCAAAGCUUUAUGUGCUGAAAGAUGGUCUCGCGUCUGAUUAGCUAGAUGGCGGGGUAACGGCCCACCAUGGCGACGAUCAGUAGCCGGUCUGAGAGGAUGAAGGGCCACAUUGGGACUGAGAUACGGCCCAGAAUCCUACGGGAGGCAGCAGUGGGGAAUAUGGGGCAAUGGGGGAAACCCUGACCCAGCAACGCCGCGUGAAGGAAGAAGGCCUUCGAGUUGUAAACUUCUUUUAGCAGGGACGAAGAACGUGACGGUACCUGCAGAAAAGCAACGGCUAACUACGUGCCAGCCGCCGCCGUAAGAC
rnacentral:rRNA from 1 species